rnacentral:rRNA from 1 species
UACGGGGGGGCAAGCGUUGUUCGGAAUUAUUGGGCGUAAAGCGCGCGUAGGCGGUUACUUAAGUCGGAUGUGAAAGCCCUCGGCUUAACUGAGGAAGUGCACCCGAAACUGAGUAGCUAGAGUACGAAAGAGGGUCGCGGAAUUCCCGGUGUAGAGGUGAAAUUCGUAGAUAUCGGGAGGAACACCGGUGGCGAAGGCGGCGACCUGGGUCGAGACUGACGCUGAGGCACGAAAGCGUGGGGAGCAAACAGG